AUUGAACGCUGGCGGCAGGCUUAACACAUGCAAGUCGAGCGAGCGGCGGACGGGUGAGUAAUGUCUGGGAAACUGCCUGAUGGAGGGGGAUAACUACUGGAAACGGUAGCUAAUACCGCAUACCAUCAGAUGUGCCCAGAUGGGAUUAGCUAGUAGGGGGGGUAAAGGCUCACCUGGGCGACGAUCCCUCGCUGGUCUGAGAGGAUGACCAGACACACUGGAAGUGAGACACGGUCCAGACUCCUACGCGAGGCAGCAGUGGGGAAUUGUGCACAAUGGGCGCAAGCCGGAUGCAGCCAUGCCGUGUGUGUGAAGAAGGCCUUCGGGUUGUAAAGUCCUUGCAGCGGGGAGGCGUUACUCGCAGAAGAAGCACCGGCUAACUCCGUGCCAGCAGCCGCGGUAAUUC
rnacentral:rRNA from 1 species